rnacentral:tRNA from 1 species
CAAAGAAUAGUUUAAAUAAAAUAUUAGUUUUGGAAAUUAAUGAUAAGAAUUUUUCUUUUCUUUGA